GACGAACGCUGGCGGCGUGCUUAACACAUGCAAGUCGAACGGAAAGGCCCUGCUUUUGUGGGGUGCUCGAGUGGCGAACGGGUGAGUAACACGUGAGUAACCUGCCCUUGACUUUGGGAUAACUUCAGGAAACUGGGGCUAAUACCGGAUAGGAGCUCCUGCUGCAUGGUGGGGGUUGGAAAGUUUCGGCGGGUGGGGAUGGACUCGCGGCUUAUCAGCUUGUUGGUGGGGUAGUGGCUUACCAAGGCUUUGACGGGUAGCCGGCCUGAGAGGGUGACCGGCCACAUGGGGACUGAGAUACGGACCAGACGCCUACGGGAGGCAGCAGUGGGGAAUAUGGCACAAUGGGCGGAAGCCUGAUGCAGCAACGCCGCGUGCGGGAUGACGGCUUUCGGGUUGUAAACCGCUUUCGCCUGUGACGAAGCGUGAGUGACGGUAAUGGGUAAAGAAGCACCGGCUAACUACGUG
rnacentral:rRNA from 1 species